rfam:Triticum aestivum genome assembly, contig: Triticum_aestivum_CS42_TGACv1_scaffold_112475_2AS
CAUGUACUCCCUCCGUCCCAAAAUUCUUGUCUUAGAUUUGUCUAGAUACAGAUGUAUCUAACACUAAAACGUAACUAGAUACAUCCGUAUUUAGACAAAUCUAAGACAAGAAUUUUGGGACGGAGGGAGUACUUG